AGGGUGUGUUGCAUCUUACCCCAGCUUCCCUGCACCAGCACAUGCCAAUGCUGCCCGGGCUGCAGCCUUGUGGAGCCUCUCCACGAGACUAGAUGUGUUCAGCAGAACUGUCACAACCUUUAUUAGGACGUGCAUCUGUGCAUGGGGUCCCAAGGAUGAUUAGGAGCAAUUUUCCUCACUAUGCAAGGGCUGAGAGUCCAUGCUUUCCAGAAUGGAUCCUGGAGAAUUCAGGCACGAGUGUUUGCUGAUCCCUGCAGGACAUGGGCCUGGGACCGGCACUUUGAUGCCAUGCACAAACAAGGUGACAGUACCCCUGGCUGCAUGGAGACCCACACAAUUACAAGUUCCCAGCAGUUUUCCCAUCAGAACUCAGAUGCCUGUGGUCCUGAAGCUGCCUGCGUACCCUGUAGGUGUUAUAUGAAUAACAUACUUGAAUUUAAGUACUUGAAUGUCACUGAAGGUACCCACAAUGCAAUUAUUUCCAUUUUUGACAUCUGUUCUACCAUGACACAGUGCUGAACUCCUGUGGGAUGGUGUUGCGUGUCUUCAGUUGCAACUACCUCUCUAUCUUCUUUAAUUUUUACUCAGAAAACUGAAAGCAGACAUCCAAGAAAACUAUACUGUCAUACUGUGCUCCAAAAUAGGAAGAUUUAGAACAUUACCUAUAGAGACAGACCAGGACCUCUUGACUGUUAUACAGACCUAGCAAUGAUAUAUUACCUUCAACAGAGACUCAUAAAGUACUUAAUACUGUAAGGUAUAGUCUCAGUUCACAGAAUGACAGAACAUCAUGAUUUGGAAGGGAUCCACAAGGACCACUGAGUCCAACCCCUGACUCCACCCAGCAACACCCCAAAUUCAAACUCUAUGUCUGAGAGCGCUGUCCAAACGGUCCUUGAACUCCAGUAGCUUGGGGCUGCGCCCACUGCCCUGGGAGCCUGCGCCAUGCCUGCUGCCUUCUAGUGCAGAACCAUUUCCUAACACCCAGCCUGACCCUCCCCUGACACAGCUCAAUGCUAUUCCCAAAGGACAGUUGACCCUUUUGGCUGCCAGGACACACUGCUCACUCACGUUCAACUCGUCAUCAACCAGAACCCCCAGAUCUCUUUCCGUGGGGCAGGUCUCCAGACUCUUGGGCCACAGCCUGUGCAUAUAACCAGUGUUGCCUUGUCUCAGGUGGAAAAUCCGGCACUUGUUCUUGUUAAACUAAACUUCACGUGGCUGGUGAUUGUCCAGCCCUUCAAUUUGUGAAGAUCUCUCUUCAAGGCCUCUCCACCUUUGAGACAGUCAGCACCUCAAUUUAGCGUCAUCUGCAAACUUACCUAGCAUACAUUUGAGUCCUUCAUCCAGGUCAUUUAAAUUCCUGUAAAGUAAUCUGCUGUACCAUUUGGUAGACUAAGGUCAGUAAAUACAGCUCACUAUAGCUCUGUUCAAACAUAACUGCCAUUUAUUGAGCAUUUCCCUUCAGUUUUUGAAUACAUGUUGUACCAAUGUGUUUGCAUAAUAUGCAUAUACAGAUACGUGGUAUAUAGUAUGGUUCCCUCUGGAGAAACAGCUUUAAGGAUACCACACAGCCAAAAGACUUUCAAUGUCACUCAGCACACAGUGUUUGUAUGGGAAUGAGCUUUGAAAAGGAGUAAGAUCACGAACAUAACGCUGUGGUGUUUGUGAAAACUCUUGAGUCUGACUCUAAGCGUUUAUCUGAAAGAAUGUUGGAUCUUAUGGGACAAGAAUCUGGGGUGCCUGUGUAGGUGGCAUUGCUCCCUCAAUGGAUACCAGCCUGGUGCUUGACCUCCUGAAGUUCUUCAGGUGCUUUGGCAGAGAUAAGCAUCAUCUACAAUGACAUCUGCAGUACAUCACAAGAUAACACUUUUUCUGGUGCUUUAUUCAAAACAUCUGCCAGGAACCUACCUUCAGCCACUGAAAUAUGCAUUUGUUCUGUAUCUGGGGCUCAAGCUGUACUCAGAGGCAGAACUACAUUGAACUGCCACCCUCUGGAAAACUUUAUUAGAACAACUUCAUAUUGAGUAACUAGAUCUUAAAUGUACUGGCUUUAUGGAGACACCGUUAAACCCUUUUCCUUACCUAA